rnacentral:rRNA from 1 species
GACGAACGCUGGCGGCGUGCUUAACACAUGCAAGUCGAGCGGUAAGGCCCUUUCGGGGGUACACGAGCGGCGAACGGGUGAGUAACACGUGGGUGACCUGCCCUCAGCUCUGGGAUAAGCCUGGGAAACCGGGUCUAAUACUGGAUAUGACUCCAUGACGCAUGUUGUGGGGUGGAAAGCCUUGUGCGGCUGAGGAUGGGCCCGCGGCCUAUCAGCUUGUUGGUGGGGUGAUGGCCUACCAAGGCGACGACGGGUAGCCGGCCUGAGAGGGCGACCGGCCACACUGGGACUGAGACACGGCCCAGACUCCUACGGGAGGCAGCAGUGGGGAAUCUUGCGCAAUGGGCGAAAGCCUGAUGCAGCAACACCGUGUGGGCGAGGAAGGCCUUUGGGUCGUAAAGCCCUGUUGUUGGGGACGAAGGUCGAAGGGUUAAUAGCCCCUAGACUGACGGUACCCUUCGAGGAA